rnacentral:lncRNA from 1 species
AUAGUUGUCCGUUUAUUUAGCAAAUAAAUAAACAACUUGUACUGCCAUGUAGCGAUUUCGAUAGACGACGCCUUCAAGGGAGGAGGAGUCUACAACAUAUUGAAUUUAUCGAUCGAUUGUUAGGCCGAUUUCGAUCAGCAUUGUAUAGUUAAUGAAUGACAACUUGACGAGAUCUUGACACGCACGUUGGAAGUGUACGCGUGUUUGCACCUCGAUGAGCGUUGCACAAUAACAAAGCUCCGUUGGUGAGCGUAUUGAUUAAUAAAGCUAGGUGAAGUCCUUGAGUGCCUCAAGGACUUUGUUUUGUUUUAGCAGUAUUUUUUCCUUCAACAAUUAAUCUUGCAUCUCCAACCGUGGAAUGAGUUACAUGUGACUCGAAACAAACAAACAGUGCAAUUGCAACAAUAUAAUUAGUCAGCGAUAUAAAUUUGCCAUAUCUUCAUGCCAACCACAAGGAUUCUGCUUUUGCACACACCUUCAUUAUUAAUGUGUUUCUUCAGGUAUGGUCACUAUCAGCAGCUUUACACACAGUGUGCAUCGUGAAUACAUCAAUCCCAGAGAAAACAUUCCAAUGGAAAAUAUUGAGAAUUUCUGCCCUUCUAUCCUGAACUAAACAAUGCUGAGAUGAGUCAUCCGCUCCUUGGACAACGCUGCGAUCGUGGUGAAGAAAUUAUCGGGAG